rnacentral:rRNA from 1 species
CCUACGGGUGGCAGCCGUGAGGAAUAUUGGUCAAUGGACGAGAGUCUGAACCAGCCAAGUAGCGUUAAGGAUGACUGCCCUAUGGGUUGUAAACUUCUUUUAUAUGGGAAUAAACUGUUCCACGUGUGGGCUUUUGUAUGUACCAUAUGACUAAGGAUCGGCUAACUCCGUGCCAGCAGCCGCGGUAAUACGGAGGAUCCGAUCGUUAUCCGGAUUUAUUGGGUUUAAAGGGAGCGUAGGUGGAUUGUUAAGUCAGUUGUGAAAGUUUGCGGCUCAACCGUAAAAUUGCAGUUGAAACUGGCAGUCUUGAGUACAGUAGAGGUGGGCGGAAUUCGUGGUGUAGCGGUGAAAUGCUUAGAUAUCACGAAGAACUCCGAUUGCGAAGGCAGCUCACUGGACUGCAACUGACACUGAGGCUCGAAAGUGUGGGUAUCAAACAGGAUUAGAUACCCCUGUAGUC